AUUGAACGCUGGCGGCAUGCUUUACACAUGCAAGUCGAACGGCAGCGCGGGCUUCGGCCUGGCGGCUAGUGGCGAACGGGUGAGUAAUGCAUCGGAACGUGCCCAGUAUUGGGGGAUAGCCCGGCGAAAGCCGGAUUAAUACCGCAUACUACCUGAAGGUGAAAGCGGGGGACCGUAAGGCCUCGCGCUAUUGGAGCGGCCGAUGUCGGAUUAGCUAGUUGGUGGGUUAAAGGCUUACCAAGCCGACGACCCGUAGCUGGUCUGAGAGGAAGUACAGCCACACUGGGACUGAGACACGGCCCAGACUCCUAAGGGAGGCCGCAGUGGGGAAUUUUGGACAAUGGGGGCAACCAUGAUCCAGCCAUGCCGCGUGCGGGAAGAAGGCCUUCGGGUUGUAAAACGAUUUUGUUCGGGAAGAAAUCCUCUGGGCUAAUACCCCGGGGGGAUGACGGUACCGGAAGAAUAAGCACCGGCUAACUACGUG
rnacentral:rRNA from 1 species